AUGAACGCUAGCUACAGGCUUAACACAUGCAAGUCGAGGGGCAGCAUGAACUUAGCUUGCUAAGGCCGAUGGCGACCGGCGCACGGGUGAGUAACACGUAUCCAACCUGCCGUCUACUCUUGGACAGCCUUCUGAAAGGAAGAUUAAUACAAGAUGGCAUCAUGAGUUCACAUGUUCACAUGAUUAAAGGUAUUCCGGUAGACGAUGGGGAUGCGUUCCAUUAGAUAGUAGGCGGGGUAACGGCCCACCUAGUCUUCGAUGGAUAGGGGUUCUGAGAGGAAGGUCCCCCACAUUGGAACUGAGACACGGUCCAAACUCCUACGGGAGGCAGCAGUGAGGAAUAUUGGUCAAUGGGCGAGAGCCUGAACCAGCCAAGUAGCGUGAAGGAUGACUGCCCUAUGGGUUGUAAACUUCUUUAUAAAGGAAUAAAGUCGGGUAUGGAUACCCGUUUGCAUGUACUUUAUGAAUAAGGAUCGGCUAACUCCGUG
rnacentral:rRNA from 1 species